GCUGUGACAAGACAGGACUACCAACCCUUCCUACGUCUGUCACCGCCUGUGCAUUUCUAGUAUCUCUUUCUAUACCUAACGCUCUCUCCUUUUCAAUGGCCAUGAUGGAAGUUCUACAAGGCAGCAUCAAACUCCUGACAGUCCUUCAUACAUCUGUCACCACUUGUGCGUACAUUUCUCUACCUAUAACGCUAUCUCCUACACCUCUCCCAGUUGGAUAGCCACGAUGGGGAAUUCUACAAGGCAGCAUGAACUUCAUGAAGGUAUGUCGUGGUGGAAGAGUUGGUAGCCCUGCACAUGUCCAUCCGAGAAUUACGUCACAGGUGGGCACAAGCCGCAGUCAUUCGCCGGCGCCUCCCUGCAGUCUCAGGUAGCAGCGGCGAUGCGUAGUGCUGUUGCUUUGUACUGAGUGAGCGUGAAUGAACCCUCGUGACGAUAUAUGGUGAUGGACGUGUGGGCCUUUACGUUGUGGAAACAGAAGUUGAGGGGCGGGGAACACUUAAUGGGUGGAUGACCACCAUCAGGGCCGCCAUUCCACCGCAUUCAUGGCCACCCUACCCGCGCUCAUCCAGUCACGUCCCCAUAGUGCAGCGCCCCUCAUCUGUAUGUAUGCUGAAGAGACACGGAAAAAUGAACACUCGUGUCUCUGUGAAAUAUUGUGCGCCAUAAAGUCUCUUGUCCUCAACGGCUUUUUUUUUUAUUCCUUCUUAUAAUAAUUAUAGAAGAGUCCUCUUGCCACACAUAAAACUGGGUAUUCAUGUAUAUUGUUAC